rnacentral:rRNA from 1 species
CGCCCAGACUCCUACGGGAGGCAGCAGUGGGGAAUAUUGCACAAUGGGGGAAACCCUGAUGCAGCGACGCCGCGUGAGUGAAGAAGUAAUUCGUUAUGUAAAGCUCUAUCAGCGGGGAAGAAAAUGACGGUACCUGAGUAAGAAGCCCCGGCUAACUACGUGCCAGCAGCCGCGGUAAUACGUAGGGGGCAAGCGUUAUCCGGAUUUACUGGGUGUAAAGGGAGCGUAGACGGCAGUGCAAGUCUGGAGUGAAAGGCGGGGGCUCAACCCCCGGACUGCUUUGGAAACUGUAUGGCUGGAGUGCAGGAGAGGUGAGUGGAAUUCCUAGUGUAGCGGUGAAAUGCGUAGAUAUUAGGAGGAACACCAGUGGCGAAGGCGGCCUGCUGGACGAUGACUGACGUUGAGGCUCGAAAGCGUGGGGAGCAAACAGGAUUAGAUACCCCCGUAA